rnacentral:rRNA from 1 species
GAUGAACGCUGGCGGCGUGCCUAAUACAUGCAAGUCGAGCGAACAGACGAGGAGCUUGCUCCUCUGACGUUAGCGGCGGACGGGUGAGUAACACGUGGAUAACCUACCUAUAAGACCGGGAUAACUUCGGGAAACCGGAGCUAAUACCGGAUAAUAUAUUGAACCGCAUGGUCCAAUAGUGAAAGACGGUUUUGCUGUCACUUAUAGAUGGAUCCGCGCCGCAUUAGCUAGUUGGUAAGGUAACGGCUUACCAAGGCAACGAUGCGUAGCCGACCUGAGAGGGUGAUCGGCCACACUGGAACUGAGACACGGUCCAGACUCCUACGGGAGGCAGCAGUAGGGAAUCUUCCGCAAUGGGCGAAAGCCUGACGGAGCAACGCCGCGUGAGUGAUGAAGGUCUUCGGAUCGUAAAACUCUGUUAUUAGGGAAGAACAAAUGUGUAAGUAACUAUGCACGUCUUGACGGUACCUAAUCAGAAAGCCACGGCUAACUACGUG